rnacentral:tRNA from 1 species
AUGCGUGGUGGAACCGCACCUUUGCAAGGCGGGGGUUAGGGGUUCGAUUCCCCUUGUCUCCA